AGGCAUUAAUUGUAUUUUCCUAUUCUAAUUAGCUCCUUGUAAUUAGUUUCCUAUUUUUUAGUUUCCUAUUUAGGUAUGAGUCUUUGUAUAUAAAUAGAAGCCUUGUAUAUCAUUUUUAUCAAGAAAUACAUAGAAAAUUCUCUCAAAAUAUCAGUGUCUUUCAACAUGGUAUCAGAGCAUUUGAUUCACUAGAGCAGGCUUCAGUACUAUCCAUGAGACUGUUCAUGCGCACUGUUCAUGCACACUGUUCACUGUCACUAUUCAUGGGUACCGUUCAUAGCAUGUGGACCUUUUUUGGGCUUUUUCUAACUGCUCCUUGUGUGUCGCACCUCUACUCACCCCUUGUCCUUUACUUGAUCACAAGCAAAUAUGUCUGAAAUAGUAGAUUUUUCUAAAAGAAUAAAUGAUAUUGGGAUUUUUGCCAACGAAGAAGUUCAAUCCCUAAAACGUUUGUUGUCUCAGCUUGAAUCUCAAUUUUCCACAGUUGUCUCUUCCAAUUUUAUCAAAUCAGGUGAUGAUUUUCUUGCCAAUCUUGAAAAAUCUUGUUAGGUUAUAGAUUCUAGAGCAAACAAGCAUAUGACAAACUCUUCAAAUAUAUUCUGUACCUAUUCCCCAUGCUCAAGAAAAGGAAAAGUUCGUAUAGCGAACAAUUCCUUAACCCAAUUUCUAACAUAGAUUCUACUACAUGCACUCCCAAUAUAAAUCUCAACUCAUUUCUUCAUGUUCCUAAUUUUCUUAUUAAUUUUUUAUCUGUCAAUUCCAUUUCCCAGGCCCUUAAUUGCAAAAUUGAAUUUUUUUCUACUCGUUGCAUAUUUUAGGAUUUGAGAACAGAGAAAACAUUGACAGUGGUUGAUUAUGAGAUGGUUUGUAUCUAUUAGAUAAUGAAUGUGGUCUCUCAAAUCCUAGAGCAACCAGGCUUUGUUAGAAAAGUUUACGAGUACUAAUGAAAAGAUUAUCCAAUGACAUAGAAGAUUAAAACAUCCAUAUUUUUCUACUCUAGGAAGGUUAUAGGAAGGUUAUAUCCUAAUUUGUUUAAGAAUUGCAACUCAGAUUUACUAGUUUGUAAUGCUUGUGAAUUUACUAAACACACUAGAUAGUCUUAUCCUUUUAUAAAUAACAAAAGGAUGAUUUCUUUUAUAACUAUUCAUUAUGAGGUUGAGGGCCCUACUCAAACAGUUUCUUUGUUUGGUUGUAGAUGGUUUAUCACUUUUAUUGACUGUUGCACUAAGCUGACAUGAGUUUAUUUAAUGAAAGCAAGAAGUUAAGUGUUUUCUUGCUUUCAAUAGUGUCACAAAAUGAUUUGCACACAGUUUAAUGCUAAGAUUAAAAUCUUAAGAAUUGAUAAUGGCAUAAAAUAUAUUAAUGGUGUUUUUCGUGCUUAUUUGGAUUCAAAUGAUAUAGUGCAUCAAACUAAUUGUGUCAAGACUAGUGAACAAAAUGGGGUGUCUGAAAGAAAAAAUAGAUAUUUAUUGGAGGUGGCUCAAUCUUUUAUGUUUACUAUGAAUCUACCUACAUUUUAUUGGGGGGAUGCAACUCUUGCUGCAACAUAUUUUAUCAAUAGAAUGCCUCUAAAGAGCCUAAAAACAUGGAACUUUAAAAGCCCUUUAGAGGUUUUACAAGGCCAUAAUUUUUAUACUGUUCUUCCAAAAAUUUUUAGAUGUAUCCGUUUUGUCCACAAAACAAUUAUUGGAAAGUUAGAACCUAGAGCUCUUAAAUGUAUGUUUGUAGGUUAUUCCGGUACUCAAA
rnacentral:misc_RNA from 1 species